rnacentral:rRNA from 1 species
GGGCCCGCACAAGCGGUGGAGCAUGUGGUUUAAUUCGACGCAACGCGAAGAACCUUACCAGGGCUUGACAUCCUCUGACAGCGUAUGAAAGUGCGUUUUUUAUCUUCGGAUAGACAGAGAGACAGGUGGUGCAUGGUUGUCGUCAGCUCGUGUCGUGAGAUGUUGGGUUAAGUCCCGCAACGAGCGCAACCCCUACGUUUAGUUGCUAACACAUAAAGGUGAGCACUCUAGAAGAACUGCCGUUGACAAAACGGAGGAAGGUGGGGAUGACGUCAAAUCAUCAUGCCCCUUAUGUCCUGGGCUACACACGUGCUACAAUGGCCGGUACAAAGGGAAGCGAAGCCGCGAGGCGGAGCAAAUCCGAAAAAAGCCGGUCUCAGUUCGGAUUGCAGGCUGCAAUUCGCCUGCAUGAAGUCGGAAUCGCUAGUAAUCGCAGGUCAGCAUACUGCGGUGAAUACGUUCCCGGGCCUU